UCCUGAGCGGACCCAUGUCGGAUCCGCAGAUGCGGACGCGCCUUUGCUGUAACGGUUGAAUCACAGUCCAACAAGAGACGAGACUAGACUAGAGUCAUAUCGCUGGAGACUUUCUUUGCUGGGACACGGUUGCGCUGAACCCUCUCGAAUUUCUUCUUUAGCCACCAUUGGAGGCCAGGAUGUGAAGAGGGUGACCUGGAACAUCCUGGGCAGGCUCUUCACAGAUGAGGUGUCUCCUCAGAUAAACUGGAAGGGUGUUAAUAACAAAAAGCCCUUCAGUAGGAUGGCAACGAAGACCUUGCUUUUCAGUGCUGUGAGGAAAAACACGGUGACACAGUCAGCCACGGACGCGGAGGUCACCAAGCACGCAAUCAGGUGGUUCAACCUGGCGGGGGAUCGGGCAACGAGGAGACGUGUCCCGCCUCCAUCCACACAAACGGAAUAGGAGAAAUAAGCAAUAAACAACCUUUUUAUUGAACUUCUUGUCGUUCACCAGUUAUUAAUUUUCUGAUA